GGCCUCGUGGCCUAGAAGUAAGGCGUUGGUUUCCGGCGCCAAAGAUCGCGAGUGCAAAUCUCGCCGUGGUCG